UCAGUCGUAGGCUACUGAGGGAUCAAAUGUUUUUAUAUAAAAUAAUAAAUGAUGAGAUUGAUUCGAGCUGUCUUUUUUCCAAAAUUUCAUUUAAAUGUAGUCGUAUUUCCGCGCGUUCUAAACAGACCUUCCACAUGUCCACGGCUCGAACGAAAUAUGCUUCUAACUCUUUUGUCCGUAGAUCUUGUAGGUUUUAGCAUACUAAGUUCUCUAAUGCUGACAUAUUUUGCUUGUCACUUGUAGCAUAUAGAAAAGCUAUUUUGGAAUAUUUAUAAGGUGAUUUAGCCCGAUGAGUAUUACUUAGUUUUAUAGUGUAAGUUGAUGUACAUAAUAAUAUGUGAGUAUUGUGUUACUUUUGUUUUUUGUGUAGGGGAAAGUGGGGGAAACGCGAACGCUGGGUAAUGCCGAAUUCAAUGGUUCUAAUAUGUUAGAAAGAUAUAUCCUAAUUUUAUUUGCCGCCAUUUCGGAGAUCACGCCACCACUGAUGCCAGUCAAUAACACGGGAGACGCGGACGCACGUACUUAAAAAGAUGCCUUGUACUUACAAAAGAAAGACCGAACUGAAGUAUAGUUUAGAAGAUCUCAAAAAGGCUAUAGACGAUGUUAAAACCAAAAACUCUCCCUGCGUAAAGCAGCAGAAACAUAUAAUGUUCCAAAAACCACAAAUUUUGACCAUCUAAUGAAAGAAGUGUUAAUACAGCCUUUGUUGGAUGAAAACCUUUAUUUACAGACGAUCAGGAAACGUAAGAAAUCAAGAAGAAAACGGAAAGAUGGCAAAAAAGGAACCCAAAUAAAAAGACUGAAAUGUAAUGAGAGAACACCUUCAAACAAGAAGUAUGAAAUAUUAUUAAAUAAUUUGAACAAUAUAAAAAAAGACUUUAGUGACUCUAGUCAAAAUACGAAAAAAAAGAAAAAGGCAAAAAAGAAAAUAAAGACUACUUUUGUAUUUUUUGUAGAGAUAAAUUAAAUAUAUUGAUCCUCCCGUUGAAGACUAGAUUGUGUGCUAUGUGUGCAAAAAAUGGGCUCACGAGAGUUGUACUGACGGACAGUCAAUAUCGUUGGGUUUUAAAUGUGACCUAUGUCGUUAAUAAUGUUGGUUCGUAAUCAAGUGCCAACCAAGGCAGCGGCUUGGCUCUGCCCCUGGCAUUGCUGACGUCCAUGAGCGACGGUGACCACUUACCAUCAGGUGGGCCGUAUGCUCGUCUGCCUACAAAGGCAAUAAAAAAAAAAAAAAAAAACCCCACUUGGUGUUCGUAUUUACCCGACUAAUGUCGGGCAAAGCCGAACACUAAGGGUUUUGUUUUUCUUUCAUAUUGUUGCAGUUUAUUAAAAAAAUAUAAAUGAUGAUUAGUGAAUAAGUUAGACAGAUAAGUAAA